UCUCCACCCACGAUUCCCCUCUGUCUCUCCACCCAGUUUUGUGGAUUUUCCAUGGAUCUACAAAGGAGGAGCAAUAUUGAAAGAUGUGGAAGGAGAGACGGAGGAGGCGAUUUGUAGCCGAAAAUCCCUUCCGCUUCGCUUCCUCCGUCAUGUUGCAGCUCGUCAUGGAACGGUCUCAAUUGUAAGAAGUGUCACCACGUACAUUAGGAAGGCUCACUCACAGCAGUGGGCCAUUGAUCGGUGGCCAGAGCUGCAGCUCUUUGACUGACAGCCCUCCUGUCUCUUCAUCUGAGAUCGAUGAUUCUUCCAGAAUACCCCGAAACAAAGCAGACAAUCAUUUCCGUAGUAGAAGAAACCCCAACAGCCCAAAUGAGAUCAGAGUUUCUAACGAUGACUCAUAUCUUGGCAUGUGGAAGAUUGCAGUGGGCUGUGAAAGAAAGACGCGAGAGUUCCAGGAGAUUUCCAACAACUCCUUUGCUGCCACAGCUAGGAAAGUAAAUGAUGAUAACCCAGAUGCUCUGGAGCUUAAGUACUACUAGUUCAAGAAGAUUCUGAAAGUCCCAAAGGAUGAGAGGGACAGGGCCCAACAAAUGCAGGUCAUCGAUCGGGCAGUAGUUGCUCAAGCUCUUCUUGAGGAGAAUCCUCAGGAAAACGCUGUUACGGAUGUUGAUUUGGGUUUUUUUUUUUAAUUUUUAUUUAGGCCUGAGGUUCCAAAGAUUGAGGGUAAUGUUAUAAUUAUUCAAGAAGGAUUUUACUUAAAUUUGGGGAUUUUGGCGUUUGUGGUUUUUUUACUUCCAAGUGCUUAUUUGGAUGCACCAUUUCAACAAUGCCACUUUGAAGUUUGCAUCUUCAAGAAGGUAAUUCAUUGAGAACUCAUAGGUUUGUUGGCUAGUUUUGAAGCUUCAGAUUCAACUACGUUAAUCAUUUCAGGUAAUUUGAUCCGAAAUGCCCAAAGUUUAUCUCUUGAUCAAACUU